rnacentral:rRNA from 1 species
GAGUUUGAUCCUGGCUCAGGACGAACGCUGGCGGCGCGCCUAACACAUGCAAGUCGAACGAGAGAUGAGGAGCUUGCUCUUCAAAUCGAGUGGCGAACGGGUGAGUAACGCGUGAGGAACCUGCCUCAAAGAGGGGGACAACAGUUGGAAACGACUGCUAAUACCGCAUAAGCCCACGGCUCGGCAUCGAGCAGAGGGAAAAGGAGCAAUCCGCUUUGAGAUGGCCUCGCGUCCGAUUAGCUAGUUGGUGAGGUAACGGCCCACCAGGGCGACGAUCGGUAGCCGGACUGAGAGGUUGAACGGCCACAUUGGGACUGAGACACGGCCCAGACUCCUACGGGAGGCAGCAGUGGGGAAUAUUGCACAAUGGGGGAAACCCUGAUGCAGCGACGCCGCGUGGAGGAAGAAGGUCUUCGGAUUGUAAACUCCUGUUGUUGAGGAAGAUAAUGACGGUACUCAACAAGGAAGUGACGGCUAACUACGUGCCAGCAGCCGCGGUAAUUC